UACGUAGGGUGCGAGCGUUAAUCGGAAUUACUGGGCGUAAAGCGUGCGCAGGCGGUGAUGUAAGACAGGUGUGAAAUCCCGGGGCUCAACCUCGGAACUGCAUUUGUGACUGCAUCGCUGGAGUGCGGCAGAGGGGGAUGGAAUUCCGCGUGUAGCAGUGAAAUGCGUAGAUAUGCGGAGGAACACCGAUGGCGAAGGCAAUCCCCUGGGCUGACACUGACGCUCAGGCACGAAAGCGUGGGGAGCAAACAGG
rnacentral:rRNA from 1 species